rnacentral:rRNA from 1 species
UACGUAGGGUGCGAGCGUUAAUCGGAAUUACUGGGCGUAAAGCGUGCGCAGGCGGUUGUGCAAGACAGAUGUGAAAUCCCCGGGCUUAACCUGGGAACUGCAUUUGUGACUGCACGGCUAGAGUGUGUCAGAGGGGGGUAGAAUUCCACGUGUAGCAGUGAAAUGCGUAGAUAUGUGGAGGAAUACCGAUGGCGAAGGCAGCCCCCUGGGAUAACACUGACGCUCAUGCACAAAAGCGUGGGGAGCAAACAGG